AACAUAAAAAUUGAAGGCCUCAGAGAUCUUGGUGGAUAGGAAUCAUCAGCUGGAGAUUUGCUAUGAAUCCCAUCAAGAGUAGCAAAUAUUUUCUCACAUCACUGGCCAAUACACCAUCUGUAAUCUAAUCUUUUCAAAUCAAAAUAAAUAAAUAAAUAAAGAGCAUGAUGAUGAAGAGUCAGAAUUAACUGCUAAUUGAUAUCAUAUUUAGAAUAAUCAGUGGGAAUCCGUCUGAUUUCUUUCAUCAUCCAUAAUCAUCAUCAUCCUCAUAGAUUUCAUCUUAUAUAAAUUAAAUUUAAACAAAAAAGGAAUGUGUUAUGUAUCUACCUUGUCACCGAUAAUUCCUAGAAAGAGAAGAGGAAAAUCGGAGCUAAAGGCAGAGUAUACAAAAAACCUAAAUUUCAUGUACACAGAUAUCAACCCAUCUCUGUUGCCUAACGAUAGAUCCCUUGAUCAUCUUACCUCCAUAUUGGAGCUGACCAAAGAAUUGCAAUAUUAGGCUUCCGAAUACCAAAUCUUACAGCCUAAGCGGUGGCCCAACAUUAAGAAUAGCAGAAAAUUUUCCACAGAUCUCCUGAGUUUCUGAUAUUCUCACCAAUGCUCUGCUGCCG
rnacentral:misc_RNA from 1 species